rnacentral:rRNA from 1 species
ACCUCGACACCUACUGGAGGCAGCAGUGGGGAAUAUUGGGCAAUGGGCGCAAGCCUGACCCAGCAACGCCGCGUGAAGGAAGAAGGCUUUCGGGUUGUAAACUUCUUUUCUCAGGGACGAAGGAAGUGACGGUACCUGAGGAACAAGCCACGGCUAACUACGUGCAGCACGCCGCGGUAAUCUGAGCGGGCUGGCAAGGC